rnacentral:lncRNA from 1 species
AGGAGGAGGAGGAGGAGGAGGAGGAGAGAGAGGAGAAGGAGUAAGAGGAUAAGGAAGAGGAGGAGGAGAAGGAAGAAGAGGAGAGGGAGGAGGAGGAGAAAGGGAGGAGGAAAAGACCCCCUCGCUCCUCAGACUAAAUAUUUCCCAGCAUGCUUUGGCACGGUCAGGUGUUCUUCUGCUCUUUGGACAUGAUGGCGUCAAAGAGCGGCGAGCGGCGGACAUGUUAGCGUUCAAACGCCGACAGCUCGCCACAAAGAUCUCCUCCUGAGCUCGAGGAAACGCGUCCAGGCCGAGCGGCGGGACUGUUGGCUCAGGCUGAGUGUGUGUGUGUGUGUGUGUGUGUGUGUGUGUGUGUGUGUGUGUGUGUGUGUGUGUGUGUGUGUGUGUGUGUGUGUGUUUGGACCCGUGCCCGUCACCCUCCGUGUUAAUAAGAGUAAUCAGCGCCCCCAUGCCUACAGAGCGCAGCGGAGACAUGGCGCCGGACCAGCGCCGCCACCUGAGUGUGUUUACACAAAACACACACACACACACACACAUGCGCACACACAUGCGCACACACACACACUCACACACUCAGCUAAUGAGGGGAAAUGCAGUCAAUACAGUCCAAUUGAUCAGCAUUGUCCAGCGACGGCGUGCGAUCGAUCGGGUUUCCCUCGCAGUAAUGCCUCAUUAGCGGCGUCUGCAGCGCGCCAGCAAACACACAAUCAGGGAGUGAUGCAUCACGGCGCAAACAAAUCAUAGGGCAGUUAAUUUCAACGCUACGCUCGCUCGCUCGCUCCGGCUCAUUUGGCCUCCUGUGGGUCUGAGGCGGAUGAAUGUACCGCCACCGCCACCGCCGCUGUCCAGACGCUAAUAUUAAUAUCAACGCUGUGACAUCACUGUUAGACUGUGUGAGUGAGAGAGAGAGAGAGAGAGAGAGUGUGCAGCUCUGAAGGUCUGUAGGUCUGUAGGUCUGUAGGUCUUUAUCUUAGUAGGUCUGUAGGUUGGUGGGUCUGUAGGUCUGUUGGUCUGUUGGUCUGCAGCUCUGGUCUGUAGGUCUGUAGGUCUGUAGGUUAGUGGGUCUGUAGGUCUGUAGGUCUGCAGCUGUGAUCUGUAGGUCUGAAGAUAAGUGGGUCUGUAGGUCUGUAGAUCAGUGGGUCUGUAGGUCUGUAGGUCUUUAUCUUAGUAGGUCUGUUGGUCUGUUGGUCUGCAGCUCUGGUCUGAAGGUCUGUAGAUUAGCAGGUCUGUAGGUUAGUGUGUCUGUAGGUCUGUAGGUCUGCAGCUGUGGUCUGUAGGUCUGUAGAUUAGUAGGUCUGUAGGUCUGUUGGUCUGCAGCUCUGGUCUGUUGGUCUGUAGGUCUGUGGGUCUGUGGGUCUGUAGGUCUGCAGCUGUGGUCUGUAGGUCUGUAGAUUAGUAGGUCUGUAGGUCUGCAGCUCUGGUCUGUAGGUCUGUAGAUUAGUAGGUCUGUAGGUCUGCAGCUCUGGUCUGUAGGUCUGAAGAUAAGUGGGUCUGUAGGUCUGUAGGUUAGUGUGUCUGUAGGUCUGCAGCUGUGGUCUGUUGGUCUGUAGGUCUGUAGAUCAAUGGGUCUGUAGGUCUGUAGGUCUGUAGGUCUGUGGGUCUGUAGGUCUGUGGGUCUGUCGGUCUGUAGAUUAGUAGGUCUGUAGGUCUGCAGCUCUGGUCUGUAGGUCUGUAGGUUAGUGUGUCUGUAGGUCUGCAGCUCUGGUCUGUAGGUCUGUAGAUUAGUAGGUCUGUAGGUCUGUUGGUC